rnacentral:rRNA from 1 species
UGGCGGCGUGCCUAAAACAUGCAAGUCGAACGGGCAGUCUUCGGAUUGUCAGUGGCAGACGGCUGAGUAACGCGUGGGUGACGUACCUAUCGGUGGGGAAUAACUGCCCGAAAGGGUGGCUAAUACCGCAUACGUCCACUGCUGCAUUGCAGUGGGGAAAACCGCAAGGUGCCGAUGGAGCGGCCCGCGUUCGAUUAGCUGGUUGGUGGGGUAACGGCCUACCAAGGCGACGAUCGAUAGCUGGUCUCAGAGGAUGAUCAGCCAGACUGGGACUGAGACACGGCCCAGACUCCUACGGGAGGCAGCAGUUAGGAAUUUUGGGCAAUGGGCGCAAGCCUGACCCAGCAACGCCGCGUGGGUGACGAAGGCCUUCGGGUUGUAAAGCCCUUUUCUGGGGGAAGAUGAUGACGGUACCCCAGGAAGAAGCACCGGCUAACUACGUGCCAGCAGCCGCGGUAAUACGUAGGAUCCAAGCGUUAUCCGGAAUCAUUGGGUUUAAAGGGUCCGUAGGCGGUUUAAUAAGUCAGUGGUGAAAGCCCAUCGCUCAACGGUGGAACGGCCAUUGAUACUGUUAGACUUGAAUUAUUAGGAAGUAACUAGAAUAUGUAGUGUAGCGGUGAAAUGCUUAGAGAUUACAUGGAAUACCAAUUGCGAAGGCAGGUUACUACUAAUGGAUUGACGCUGAUGGACGAAAGCGUGGGUAGCGAA